rnacentral:rRNA from 1 species
GAUGAACGCUAGCGGCAGGCUUAACACAUGCAAGUCGAGGGGUAGAGGAAGCUUGCUUCCUUGAGACCGGCGCACGGGUGCGUAACGCGUAUACAAUCUACCUUUUACAGAGGGAUAGCCCCAGAGAAAUUUGGAUUAAUACCUCAUAGUAUUUUCGGAUCGCAUGAUUUGAUUAUUAAAGUUCCAACGGUAUAAGAUGAGCAUGCGUCCCAUUAGUUAGUUGGUAAGGUAACGGCUUACCAAGACAAUGAUGGGUAGGGGUCCUGAGAGGGAGAUCCCCCACACUGGUACUGAGACACGGACCAGACUCCUACGGGAGGCAGCAGUGAGGAAUAUUGGUCAAUGGGCGCAAGCCUGAUCCAGCAAUGCCCGCGUGCAGGAUGAAGGCCCUUGGUUGUAACUGCUUUGUACGGAACGAAACGGUGAGCUCUAAUACAGUUUGGUCUAAAUUAGACGGGUAACCCGUAAGGAAUAAGCACGGCUAACACGUGCCAGCAGCCGCGGUAA